rnacentral:misc_RNA from 1 species
GAUGAAGAACGCAGCGAAAUGCGAUAAGUAAUGUGAAUUGCAGAAUUCAGUGAAUCAUCGAAUCUUUGAACGCACAUUGCGCCCCUUGGUAUUCCGAGGGGCAUGCCUGUUCGAGCGUCAUUAUAACCCCUCAAGCUCAGCUUGGUGUUGGGGCCUGCCGCACGGGCAGCCCUUAAAAUCAGUGGCGGUGCCAUCUGGCUCUAAGCGUAGUAAUUCUUCUCGCUAUAGAGUCCCGGUGGAUGCUUGCCAUUAACCCCCAAUUUUCUAUGGUUGACCUCGGAUCAGGUAGGGAUACCCGCUGAACUUAAGCAUAUCAAUAAGCGGAGA